rnacentral:rRNA from 1 species
CACGUAGGGGGCAAGCGUUGUCCGGAUUUAUUGGGCGUAAAGAGCUCGUAGGCGGUUCGAUAAGUCGGGUGUGAAACCUCCAGGCUCAACCUGGAGACGCCACCCGAUACUGUCGUGACUAGAGUCCAGUAGGGGAGCGUGGAAUUCCUGGUGUAGUGGUGAAAUGCGCAGAUAUCGGGAAGAACACCCGUGGCGAAGGCGGUUCUCUGGGACGGUACUGACGCUGAGGAGCGAAAGCAUGGGGAGCGAACAGG